UACAGAGGGUGCAAGCGUUGUUCGGAAUUACUGGGCGUAAAGCGCGUGUAGGCUGCUUGGAAAGUCGGACGUGAAAUCCCUCGGCUUAACCGGGGAACUGCGUCCGAUACUGGAUGGCUCGAGUUUGGGAGAGGGAUGCGGAAUUCCAGGUGUAGCGGUGAAAUGCGUAGAUAUCUGGAGGAACACCGGUGGCGAAGGCGGCAUCCUGGACCAACACUGACGCUGAGGAGCGAAAGCCAGGGGAGCAAACGGG
rnacentral:rRNA from 1 species